rnacentral:lncRNA from 1 species
GUGGCUUCCUAUGUGCAUACCAGUUUUGGAGCUUCAUCUCCAGGCCUCACUCUUGGUGUCUUCUGGGCAUGUUUAUGGGGUUUGCCCUGGGCCCAUGCACCACAUCUGUGGGAGGGCAUGUCACCGAGUUCUAGCACCUCCCUGGAAGAACCAACAUUACCGGAGGAGAGAGGGCAUCAAGUGCUUGUUUAUACGUGGGACGCCUACCACAGCAUGGCUGCCAAGCAGUGCCAUGUCCGCACCCGGGAUCCGAACCAGCGAACCCCGGGCCGCCAAGAAGCGGAACGUGCGAACUUAACCGCUGCGCCACCGGGCCGGCCCCUCUUGCCUCCAAUUCUGAUUCAAUGAGGAAAUUGAGACCCAGAGAGGUGACGUGACUUGCCUAAGGCUGGCUAGAGACGUAACUGGAUGAUCACUCUGCUCUACUGGUUCUCAGGCCACUGAGAUUUUCCAAACUGUGUUCAUUAGAACACCAGUGUCCAAAGCGAGGUCAAUAGGUGUUCUGGGGGACAAAAGGUUGAGCUGUGGCCUCAUAAAUAAGUUUGGGAAACACUGGACGUAGCCAAGUUAAGCAGGUUUCUUUGCUGCAGGAUUUCACAGAUGCUUGGAUAUUCUAAUACAAAUUGUGACGCUCCAAUAGAGGUUAUGGAGGCAGAGUUUUCCAAACUCAUUUAAUAGCAGACACUUUCCCUCCUUUUGUAACAUAUUGGCAUCUCAGUGGACACUAUUCUAAGGAAAACUGUUAGGGGGAUUGCUGUAAGACACUGUGUUGCCCUGAGAUAAGCCAGAGAGAGUCCACAGUCACCAAAGACUAGAGUCCUCAGAAGGAUAUGAAUUCACAUAUACUUGCUCUGGACCAGCCACCUCUGACACCUAAACUGCCACACUGGACUCCAGGUGGACCAAGGUGACCAAUUCCCAUGAGAAGGAACCCACAGGCCAGGAAUAGUUGUGAGCUGGCUGGCAGAGUGGCUGACAGGGUGGGUGUCAGCCCCACUCCUGUUGGACGCAGAAGUUCAGUUCUCAGAAUUGCUAAGC